GUGAAGUAGGGUGCACUGAGUUUUGAACCCUCAAUACUUGUUAGGCACAAGCAACUAGAGCUACUCACAAACAGCCAGUCUUAUGAGAGCAAUCCUAUGAAGUUUAUUUGGAUUAUUCUAACCCAAAUUGAAUCUGAGUGUUUCCAUGGUUGAAGGGUGCGAUGCAGCUACAUAGGACAGAUGCCCAAUCCUAGGGAAAGACUUAUCAGUUUUAAGGAGUUGUUAUGGAAAAGCACCAAAAUUUAAAUACAGAAGAUGAUAUAUUGCACAAGGCUGUUUGUGAAGCAAAUUGCAUGCUAAUGAAAAAGAUAAAAAGGAUUGCUCUCAAGUGAACUGUCCAAGGUCAACACUUCAGGCAACACUUAUUCUCCUGCUGUUUUUAUAGGUGGUUUGAUCUCCUCUUACAAGUCUGUUUGCAAAAUACUGAUAUACUGCCAAUGCUCAUUGGAAUGAAUGAAUCUUCUAAACUCUUUGUGGUUUGGCUUGAUUUUAUAUUUCCUAAAGUUCACUUCUCAUAAUCAGGGAAUUCCUCAAAAGCUUCUGAC